ensembl:lncRNA
ACGCCCUUCGCUGUGGAGAGCCGCGCCCGGGUCCGCCCCACAGCCCGCGGCUGCCCCAUAGCCGCCCCAUAUCCGCCCCAUAGCUGCCUCAGAGCCGCCCUAUAGCCGCCCCAUGGUGGCAUAGGGAUCCACCCCUGUGCUCCACGGCGCCCCAUAGCGGUCUCUAUGGGUCUCUGUGCCUCGUUUAGAUCCCUAUCAGUCACUACAUCUGCUAUAGAUCACUAUGGAUACUGUGAGUUCCUAUGUGUCAUACAGGUCCUUAUAGGUCCCUGUGGGUCCUUUGGGUCCCUGUGUGUUCUAUAGGUCGUUAUAGGUUUCUAUGGGUCCUAUGGAUCUCUAGGGGUCAUAUAGAUCCCUAUGGGCCUCUAUGGGUCCUAGGGGACCCUGUGUAUCCUAUAGGUCCCUAUGGGUCCUUUGGGUUCUAUUUGUUUUCUGCAGAUUCUUGUAGCUCUUUAUAGGUCUCUAUAGCUUUCUAUAGGUCCUUGUGGGUAUGUACGUGUCUUGUAGGUCUUUAUAAGUGUCUAUGGAUCUGUAUGUGUUUAAUUGGUCCCUAUAGAUCACUGUGGAGUUUUAUGUCUUCCAUAGAUCUCUAUGGGUCUUUAUGUUUUCUCUAGGGUACUAUAGAUCUCCAUGUUUCCUGUGGGUCUCCAUGGGUCCCUAUAGGUGCUAUGAUCUCUAUGGGGGGGGAGAGGACAAUUAUAUUUCAUCCCUUUUAUCCCUCCGCGCCGGGUGGGGCCGCUGUGCUCUCCUGGGGGGGUCCCGGAUAUGGGGGGGGGGGGAAGUGCGGCCUCUUCCAUUGCAGCGCUGCAGUGGGGACAGAGCGGUGUCCCCCCAAAAAAUUGGACUCCCUCCCUCCCCCCCCCAAAGCUGAGCGCUGCGGACUGCCCCGUGGUGCUGAGGUUUCGUCGCCUCCGAAGGACAGCAGCGGCCGCAGCCCCCCCCUUCCCCCCCAUUCACUGCGUUCCCCUCUUUGAGUCCGCCCCGAGGGGAGGGGGGUGUGGGAAAAAGGGGCGGAGCCUCCGCCCGCGCGGGAGAGAUCUCUCAGCCAAUCGAAGAGAAGGAGCGGUUCCCACGGUUCCAUUGAUGAAAAAAGGCGAAGAGGGACCUUUCCUUGGAAGCCCUCCCCGGCGGGGGGGGGGGCUGUUAAACUUGGGGGGGGGCUCAGUGUGAGAGAGGGAGGGUCCCAAAGGGGAUCAGUGUGAUUGGGG